rnacentral:rRNA from 1 species
AUUGAACGCUGGCGGCAUGCCUUACACAUGCAAGUCGAACGGCAGCACGGGGCAACCUGGUGGCGAGUGGCGAACGGGUGAGUAAUGCAUCGGAACGUACCUUUCAGUGGGGGAUAACGUAGCGAAAGUUACGCUAAUACCGCAUAUUCUGUGAGCAGGAAAGCAGGGGAUCGCAAGACCUUGCGCUGAUUGAGCGGCCGAUGUCAGAUUAGCUAGUUGGUGAGGUAAAGGCUCACCAAGGCGACGAUCUGUAGCGGGUCUGAGAGGAUGAUCCGCCACACUGGAACUGAGACACGGUCCAGACUCCUACGGUAGGCAGCAGUGGGGAAUUGUGGACAAGGGGGGCAACCCUGAUCCAGCCAUGCCGCGUGAGUGAAGAAGGCCUUCGGGUUGUAAAGCUCUUUCGGCCGGGAAGAAAUCGCACGGGCUAAUACCCUGUGUGGAUGACGGUACCGGAAUAAGAAGCACCGGCUAACUACGUGCCAGCAGCCGCCGUAAAAC